rnacentral:siRNA from 1 species
UAGAGGUCGCCGGUUCGAGUGA